rnacentral:misc_RNA from 1 species
AACGCAGCUUGCACUCUUUGGCAUUCCGAAGAGUAUGCCUGUUUGAGAAUCAUAAACACCAUCCUCACCGUGGUGGGGGAGUUGGGGGCACAGCGGAAGCUGGCGCCUGAAAGGGAUGGCGUCUCGGCGACUGUCUAGCCAGGACCUAGUGUGGUGGUAGAGCCGUGGCUCUCUUAUUCAACACUGUGGAAUUGACGGGGCGAUUGCCGAAAAGAGGCGCAACGAGGUGAUUCACCUCAAGAGGGGCUAGCCUCUGAACCGUGAUCUCAAAUCAGGCAAGACUACCCGCUGAACUUAA